rnacentral:rRNA from 1 species
AGGACGAACGCUGGCGGCGUGCUUAACACAUGCAAGUCGAACGAUGAAGCCCUUCGGGGUGGAUUAGUGGCGAACGGGUGAGUAACACGUGGGCAAUCUGCCCUUCACUCUGGGACAAGCCCUGGAAACGGGGUCUAAUACCGGAUAACACUCUGUCCCGCAUGGGACGGGGUUGAAAGCUCCGGCGGUGAAGGAUGAGCCCGCGGCCUAUCAGCUUGUUGGUGGGGUGAUGGCCUACCAAGGCGACGACGGGU